rnacentral:rRNA from 1 species
GGAAUUGUUCGCAAUGGGCGCAAGCCUGACGACGCAACGCCGCGUGGAGGAUGAAGAUCUUCGGGUCGUAAACUCCUGUCGAGCGGGACGAAUGGUCCACGACCUAAUACGUCGUGGAAAUGACGGUACCGGCAGACGGAGCCCCGGCUACCUCCGUGCCAGCAGCCGCGGUAAUACGGGGGGGGCUAGCGUUGUUCGGAAUUACUGGGCGUAAAGGGCUCGUAGGUGGCCAACUAAGUCAUGCGUGAAAUCCCUCGGCUUAACCGGGGAACUGCGUCUGAUACUGGAUGGCUUGAAUCCGGGAGAGGGAUGCGGAAUUCCAGGUGUAGCGGUGAAAUGCGUAGAUAUCUGGAGGAACACCGGUGGCGAAGGCGGCAUCCUAGACCGGCAUUGACACUGAGGAGCGAAAGCCAGGGGAGCAA